rnacentral:misc_RNA from 1 species
UGGCUGCAGGGAAAUACAUUGAUAAGUGAGUAGACCUCCUUGUGCCUGAAAAAGUAUUUUCAAGCAAAUAAACAAGCCUGCCAUCCCCAUAUGAAUAGGAAAAUUUUCAAAACUGGUGAAGAAGCGGUGAGCUUAUAUCAAAGUUAAUUAUUUAAAAUAUCUAUGAUCUGUUUAAAGGUUCUAACUGAACUUCCAUUCUUCCAGACUGUUGCACAUCUUUUUGUGCAGCCCUAGUUGGACUUAAAAGAUCAACAGAAUCCUCUUCUUCAAGGUUACCCAACACCCAAUUGCUUCUCCCAAAUAUUCUGUCCCUCCUCCGCUGUUUCUCUUGAUAUUCCAGAUACAUGACAAUCAGCAGAAGAAUCAAGAACCAAACGAUUAAUGCUCCAUUAUACCCAUGAAGAUCUUCACUUCCGUAUCUAUCUCUCAAAUGCUUUAGCCCGCUGAAAAGUGCGGCAACUCCCAAAACAAUUGCACAUCUGCCAAUAAUAAUGUGAAAAUACUCCCAAAUCAGUCUCUUUGAGGAUACCUCCUCCCCAUUUACAGGCUUCUUAGGCCUCAUGAAAGCAUUUACUGGUUGCGCACAAGCCAAAAAUAUAGCAGUAAGCCCAAAUUUAACAUGUAAUGAGCUGACAUAUAAGCCCCGAAGCUCAGCCACCGCAAAAAGAAGGCCAAGUAGGACAAUUGCUAAACCCGAGUACUGCAAAUAAACAUGAAUCUGAUACCAGCCAUCCCCUUUCACAUGCUUCAAAUAUCUAGCUGCCAAAAUUCCACCAGGAAGCAAAAUACCCCAAGCAAGGAACAUCAUGAAUCCAUGCACAGCUAACACAGGUCGUAGAUCUUGCUCAGCCUCUGCAGAACCACGCAUAAGCAACACUCGGACAGGCCUAUUACUAGUAACAGAAUGCAUAUUUUUCUCACUUAGAUGUUUGUCUGACCAUUUGGUACCCAUUGCCCAUAUAACCUUAAGAGGGCUAGUGGGAUCAAUGAUAUUCUUACACUCUGGCUGAUCAUUGUGACUACAUGUUGGUUUAAAGGGCCGUGUAAACUCAAAGGUAAUGAUGCCAUUUUCUGAUUUGAACCUUAUAUCAGUCAAAUUCUCAUUUGUUGGAUGAACACUAAAGGCAUCCUUCCCAUCAAUCCAAUAUGUGUUUACAUGCCCUUUGCUGCUCUCAUCCACCCAGCCAACAUAAGCAUAACUAUUCACCAUUCCACUACCAAAUCCUAUUGCAAUAUAACCACUCUUUUUCUCACCUCGAGCUGCAAUAGAUAUAGAAUCCUUUGCCAACGUCCAAAAGAACGUCACUUGUUGAUCGUCCAAAACAACACUAUUAUUAUACAUAUCAGAUAAACCCCCAUCAACAACCUGAACUCUCCAGCCCAUCUUCUGCUGAUACAAGGAUUGAUAGUACACUUGAUCUGGAGUAUUCCUAUCUGGUUGCCAAACCAAUUCCAUUGGACUAGCCAAAACACCCUCGGCUUCAGGGCCUCCAGCAUAAAUAGUCUCUGUCUUAUUCCUCAGUGUUGCAUUCCCACCUAUCAAAUCUGAAGUAAUGUACAACGCAACAUCAUGUCCAGCUUGCACUGAUAACUUCACUGGCACCCCUCUUUCAACUCUCAAAACUGGAGCCUCUUUCUUAUUAAUGUACAAAACCUUAGAAGGAUUCGGCGGAUUAGGAUAAUGCAUUGCAGGACCAGUAGUAACAACAAGAGGCACGUUUGCAUCUGCAAUAAUCAAAUCCUGAUCCUCCUUGUCUUCAGCAUCCAAGGGCCCCAAACAAUCAUUCACCUGCUCAGAUACAUUAAGCACCAGAUGGCCAUAAGUCACCAUUUUUGGGCCUCCAUGAUACUGAGGAAGAUAGUAAGGCCUAAUAGUGUCAGGUGGCCUCAUCAACCCCAAUGCCCAAAUCACUGUCAUAUUAGCAGUAUGACUCACAGGCAAAUCAUAUUUCUUGUCAACUGAAACCAACGGCCUCCUGUACCUUACAAAGGACACCCCAUCCCUUCUAUGCCCAUAAAUCAGUUUUGUAUUGUUCACCAAUCCAACUGGGUCCGACCCUUCAUAUAUGGUAUCUGGGCAAACACCGAAGGCUGAACCAUCCUUGUUUAUCGUACACUCACUGUAUUUGGUGAUGAAAAAAUCAUCAGCAAACGGCUUUCCUUCUUCUGUGAACCCAGCCACCGCUACGUCAGCUUCCUGCAUUAGAUCGGCGUCAGAAUCCAGUUGCGCCCACCCGAAUGCCAUGUAAUUCUGGAUCCCAGUGGCGGCCUCUAAUCCUAUAUCUAUGAAAUUAUUUUUUAUACUCAAACUCCAUCUAAUCCUAUAGUUCUUAGACAACACCUUGCAGUUAUCAAACAUCGUCGGCGCAGUAAAAGUCAAAUUUUCCCCUUCCUCGAGCGUAGUAUCGUUAUCAGA